UGACGUAAAGAACGUUGGCCGACGAUCCAAUUAGUCUCCUUUGCUAACGAUGAAUCUGUCAUUUCGAAUUAUUUUGUGGUACCGGCUACAACCAAGCUUCGUCGUCUCAUUAAUUGCAAGCUUUCAGCACGAAUUGUGCAUGCUGGGAAAGAACAGGAAAGAACAGACAGAGAAGUGGAAUUUAUACGUAUAGCUAGGACUCGAUCAUGUGCAAACGUCGAUCACGCUCAACUGCAAAAGAUAAAUUAUUAGACUGCAUUCCUUAAGCUAAUAUAACGACGUAAGCAAUUAAUUUUGAUGAUAGAUAGAGGUACGUAGUCUGGAAGAGGUACUUUGUCUGGAAUUUUCGUCAUCGGUUUUACUUAUUUACGGUGAGAAAUGAUAUUGGACACAUGACAUCGACACAUGUUAACAGUACAUUGUAGCGCGUACUUGGAAAUAUGCAAGAUGAAUUUGGUGACAGUCGAGCAGAAUUGACACUUUCUCUUUGAGUUUCUACGAUCAUCUAUUCCUCGAUCAAGGCUGUUUUCUUUUACCGUAACUUCAUUCAGUAUGCUAUUAGAGUAUAUUUUUAUUUUGUUUAUGCGUUGUACAUUUAUCGAAUAGCUGAGGAUUUUGAAUUCGUUCUACUUUGAUAACGCCAUUGUAACUUCAUUUUUCCAUUUUUGCAUUGGUGAAUUUAAUAUGGAUUAUUUUAACAAUUAUUGUUAAUAACGUGCGAUAAGUACGUAACGAUUUGAUCAUCAGAAUUGAGAGGACCGGUCUUCAUCGUGCAGUUUGAAAUAACCUAGACGCAACCCUUUCGAAACAUACACUUCAAUGAGAAUUGUCUUGAGAUUUUCUCAAGUUUUCUCAACUUUUCCUUGUGCAUGCUAACCAGAUUCUAUAUCUUUCGAUAUUUUAUAAUGAAGUAAUGAGGACACUCUCAUCUCUUUCCUCCUAAUUUAUGCUGUAGACGUUGUUGGGUUGUUCUGUACGACAGAAUUACGAGAGCCUUUCCACAUAUGCGUCUCGCACCGGACCAACGAUGCUAGUCGAUUUGCAUCGUCUCUUUUUUAUCGUUAGAUUUAUAGAUCGCGACGAAUAAGUCGGCGGUACUAUAGGCUAGGAUACCGUUGAAGGCCGUCAACAAAAUAACCCUUACCGCGUUACGAGAGGAAUAUUAAUGGGAAAUUAACGCGCGUUUAUUUAAAGAAUCCCGUGAGACUAUCGCAAGGUAGAUGAUAAA